rnacentral:tRNA from 1 species
GCGCCUGUAGCCCAGUGGAUAGAGCGUUGGCCUCCGGAGCUAAAGGCGUGAGUUCGAUUCUCACCAGGCGCACCA